rnacentral:rRNA from 1 species
UUUUUAUGAGAGUUUGAUCCUGGCUCAGGACGAACGCUGGCGGCGUGCCUAAUACAUGCAAGUAGAACGCUGAAGU